GGCUGUUUGGUAACCCUCUUAAUGAAUCAUUAAGAGGUGGACCUCUUAUUCGGACAGAGGUGGGGCUGUUUGGUUAUGCCUCUUAAUGGGAAACCUCUUAAUGAUUCAGUGCUGAAUCAUUCAGAUCUAUUAAGAUGCUGAAUAAAAAAAAAGACCUCUAAUGCCCCCCUUUCACCUCUGAUGCAUAUGAAACCCUAGAGCUCUCAAAACCUCCGCCCCCACCUCGUCUCCUCCUCCUCUCCGCGUCUCCGACCGCCGGCCUCAGCCCUCAGCCUCCGACCUCAGCCCUCAGCCUCCGACCUCAGCCCUCAGCCUCCUCUCUUCCUCCGACCUCAGCCCUCAGCCUCCUCUCCUCCUCCGACCGACCGCCGCCCUCAGCCUCCUCUCCUGCCGACGCCGCCCUCAGCCUCCUCUCCUCCUCCGACCGCUGCCCUCAGUCUCCAUCUCCACCCAGGAUCCAAGAACCAAAGAAAUGGCAAAAAGGAUUAGGAUUAAUUGGAAGCAAGAAGGUGUUGAAAAAACCUUUCUUGAAGCAUGUGUUCAUGAAAUAACCGUUAAUGGACGUGAAGGAAGCAGUCUUAAACAAGCGUCAUGGAAAACUGUAGCUGAAAAUUUGAAAACACAACAUAAUUUCAUAGUGGAACAACGUCAAAUGAAGAAUCACUAUGAUUUUCUAAAAGGAAAAUUUGCAGCUUGGUUAAAGCUUAAAAACAAAACCGUGCAUAUGGUGUUCUAAAGGCGAGAUUCCCAAUCCUAAAGCAAAUGGCUCCCUUUUCUUUUCUAAUACAAAGAGACAUUGCGAUUGCUUGUUUCGCCGUCCAUAAUUUUAUAAGGAAAUGCAAUAUUUAUGAUCAGUUAUUUAUGGACUAUGAUGAGAACACGAUGUUUCAUGAAAUGCAAAGUGGGGAAAAUGAUGGCCUGCUAGUUCAAGACAUAGAGUGGGGUUCACAAGGUAUUGACUACAUGACUUCUUUACGUAACCAGAUUGCUAAUCAGUUGCUUUCAAAUGAAUCAAAUUAAAAUUGUAUGUAGAGUUGUGUUAUUUGUAUUUGGAUUUCGUAUGUUGUGUUGUUUUGUAUUUGGAUUUAAAGGAUUGAUGUGUAAUUUGGAUUUUUUA